rnacentral:rRNA from 1 species
UGCUGUAAAUAGUUUUGUCUUUGGUUAAAGUACCUUUUGCAUCAUGAUUCUUUGAGAUGUUUAGAUUAUUUCUAGUUCCCGAAUGGCUUAUGAUUUUCAUUGAUUCAUAGCAAGUUUGUGCAUAGAUAAGUUGUUGUGUAAACAUUUGUAGAAAUCAUUGAGGUUGUGAUAAAUAAUUCGUAUAGUCUGAUAACUGGUUUAUAGCUUGAUUAUUUCAACGAAAUAAAGAUUGAUUGUGUUUAUCUUUACUGAUAGAGAUAGUUUAUAUGUUGUUGUUGAGUCUUGGAUUAGAAUUGUCCUAGGAUAAGUUAGUUAUUUACUUGACAUUUUAUUUGUAUGUUUUCUUAUUGUUGAUGGCUAUAUUCUUAAUUAUUUGUUUAAUAAUGAAGAAAUGAGUAGGAUUAUGUUUUAUUAGUCCGUUAUUUGUCUUUAAUUCUGUUCAACUGUUUAUCAAAAACAUUGCUAUUUGUUGGAUUUAAAUAGUAUGGCCUGCCCAAUGUUGUAAAUUAAUGGUCGCAGUUUUACUGUGCUAAGGUAGCAUAAUAUAUCGCUUCUUAAUUAGUGGCUUGUGAAUGGUUUAAUGAAAUAGAAUAUUUAAAUGAUGACUAUAUCUGAAAUUGAUUUGGUGGUGCGGAAUCUAUUGUUAUAAUAUAA